CACCACUGAGGGGAUUCAAGCCCGCACCUCCCGCUUAUCGGGCGGUUGCGGCAUCCACUACGCUACAGGGAC